AUACAACAAAUUAAUAAUGAUAAGGAAUAAGCUCUCAAACUAUUACUGUAUUUAAGGUUAGAAUGGGCUUGGAAAUCAUAAAGUUAUAAACCAUAUUCUAUCUCUUAUGUGCAAAGGGAAGAAAGUAUGGAUAAAAUUGCCAAGUUUCUUUAUGUAAUGCUUAUCCUUAUUUCUCCAUUUAUUGUUGCAAUGAGCAAUGGCACAAUAUGUGAUGGCGAUCAUGAUUGUUCAAGGAAUGUGUGCUCGCAUCCUCAACAAGUUUGGUGUAUAUUUAUAACUAGAGUUGUUCCUAGAUUACGCCGAAUGGGUUUGUGUUCAUGUUCUUCUAAAUUGGCUCCAUGAUUGUCAUUUCAUAAUUGUUUUGGCACCAAUAAAUUGAAUUUUUUUUCAUUUUCUAUUUUCAUGGACUAAAUAGUUGUGGUUUUGUACUCUAAUGAUGAUCAUAAUGAAAUGAAAUAAGGAAGUAUAAAUUAAUGUUUA